AUCUGUGUCAUCGUGUGUUUCAGUAGUUGGUUCCUAUUUACACCGAGGAAUAUUUUCUUCUACGGAUGCUCCACGGUUUGUUUAUCCAUUCGCCAGUUGAAGAACAUUUGGAUUGGCUCCAGAUGGAGCGAUUGUGAAUAAUUCUACUCUGAACAUGUGUGCACUGGUAUUUGUAGGAACAUAACUUGCUUUUCUCUAGGAUAAUACCUAGGAGGGGAUUGCUGGGUCAAAAGUCUCCAGGCUGAUUUGCAUUGCACGGUGCCAGACUGCGGCUCUGCGGCCCCCCAGGCAGUGUUAUCCUCCGACGAUUGAAGUUGAAAGAAAUCUUGUGCCUUUCAGGCAUCUUGUGAAACACAACAAACACCUCCCCGUUUCCAGGAAAUCUUUUCUUUCCUUUUUCUUUUUUUUUUCUUUUUGUCAACAUAAAUUCUAAACAAAACAGACUAAAAUGGAAAUAACUGUGGCCCAUCUGUCACAAUGAGAAGUCUGUCACUGCAGCUACUUGCGUUUGUCAGCCAAUCAGAGAAGAGAUGCAAAUCAUCUCAAGCAAUGUUUGCAAACAGUUGUUCCAAGGACCAAUCCUUGUAAGAUGCUGAAAUUUUGCUGUGGGAAAGAAAAAAAUUAAAAGGGGUGACAUGCUUUAAGGUGAUGGAAAUAACUCGUAAUUAAAUGGGUAUCCUGGAAGUCCCACUUUUUCGCGUGUGGGGUAACUUUAAGGAGGAGGGAUAAAAUGUAGCCAGCCCUUCUUCUCAUUUUCUGCAAUCUUGUUUCACAGAACAGCUUGGCCAACAUAGACCUAAAUCACUCAUAAAUCAUGGCCAGGGCUCAGAAUGAUUAGAAAUGAGAUGACACUAAAGGAAGAGAAAAAUCCAAUGUUCUUACCUUUUAAAAAGUAUUGUUCAUGACAAUAUUCUUGCUAGAAUUACUAACAAA
rnacentral:lncRNA from 1 species